UGCUUUUAAAUAAUAAAUAGGGUUGGUAGAAAUCAAUAUUUAUUUUAUAAAUUGACAGAUAAUUAUUUUAAGCAUAAUUUUUUCUUUCUAUUUUUAUCAAUUUUAAAUGUUCACAGCUGUCAGAAAUUAUGGUGGAUCAGACAAUGGGGAUUAGACAAUAAUUAUUCAAUGACAGUAGAUGUUGAGACAUAACUUUAUAACUGUUAAAACACUAGCUGUCAACUCACAUCAAAAUAGACAAACUGAAUACCCUUAAAUCAACUUUCAAAAGUUGUCAAGCAGCAUUUUUCUUACUUUGCCUAUCUGUAAAUUUCAAUUAUCCAUGGAAAUAUUUUUCACAGGUGUCUGUCCAGUGAAAUCCACAUUUAUCAACAUUUCCAGGCAAAAAUCUAAUCCUUUCAAACCUCCAACCAAAACAUCAACAGACCUAAGCAAUGCAAAGCCAGCAGAGGAGGACUACAGUGCACCAUUUUUGUGAGCCCCACCAAAAGCGGUUUACAGAUUGUAUAAAAAUGGAACAGACUAGUAGAUGGUUGUAAUAAGAAGAUAUUUUAGUGCCUGGAUGUGUAGGGGCAGGAGUUUCAACUACAAAAAUAUCAGUAUAAAGAGUUUCUAACUCUUGGCAGUGUUCCUUUAAGUACCUAAUAGGCCUGAGACUGAUUUCCCCCAGAGAAAGAGAACUCCCGAGCCCUUUUAUUACUGCGCAAGGCUCAGGUGCUGCUGCAGCUCCCGAGUCCCAACUUUCUGUGGGAAAAGGAAGCAACAUCAAGCGUAGACAUAGGCUGGGACGCCCAACUCCUGAGGCGUACAGGCAGCUCGAGGUGCCCCCAGGUGUGGGCGAUCCGCUUGCUACGGACGGUGCGCGGGAGUCGGUGCAGAAGCGCCACCCGGCUCUUAAGGAGGGCCCCAGGUUUGUAUCCCGAAAAGCAACGAUCACUCCCAGGAGGAGAAGAGGGUUUCCUGGGUCAGUCCACCCGGCCCCGCUAACGGAGCUGGGCUCCCGGGACAGAGGGAAUAGCUGGCUUCGGCGGGCGCCCCGGGCAAGGGGCUGGGAGCAUGUCCGGGCGGCGCUGAGAGCGGAGCCCCCCGUCCUUCCCGGGCUGUGACCGGCGGGUGACUUCUGCCUCCCCCCAAAUGACCCUGCGCUCUUUCGAGCCCUCGGAUGGCGCGGAGCGGGCCGGGNAGAAAUACGUGGUUACAUAGAGGAACUAGUUCACAGUUUGUUGCUCAAUCAUCAUUU
rnacentral:lncRNA from 1 species